GUUAACACGUCAAAUUUUGUCGUUACUAGCAGACAUAUCUAUGUCAAUAGUGGUGCCCCAGCUGCGCUCAAAUCCUGGAUCCGCCUCUGUUUGUACAAGACAAUAAUUUGUUUGAUUUCACAAAUAUGUAGGUAAGAUGCUUUUCGCUUCGCCUUAUGAAUGUCCUCAAAGACGAUAAAACUAAGUAAUAAGAAGGCAUAAACUUUUAGGUGGUAUGAAAUAUUUUUCUAAUUUCUAGGUGGUAUGAAGCAUAAAACAUUCUAAUGAAGUUGAACAUAUGUUAUAAUGGAGUACUGAUUUUAGAGAAAAUAACUGGUGGAUAAAAUCAUAGUUUCGGCUUCAACAGUAGUAUAUGUUUUAGAAUUCUACGAGCAAGAAGCUUGAAAAAUAAAGCAAUUGUUUAAUUGGAUAGAAAAAUUACCAGAUAUUUGCUUAAGUAACCUUAUAAAGUGCAUUUCUCUGCUUUGUGUUCUCAACUAAGUUCUGCCAAUGUAUGUCUCUUUUCAUGUAGUUAUGAACCAACAACCUAAAUACCAAGGGAAAGUCCAAAUCACAUCACACUAAAAGUCACAAGUAAGCUUCCUAAAUGCAUUAAUGAAUAACCAUAAGUCAGAUGAAUACCUAGUACAUGAGAAAGAUUUCAGUAUGCUAAAUAUGGAUGAUGAAUCCAAAAUCAAAAAGAAUUAACUAACUUUGUAUGGGUUGUAAUACUAACAAUAUUUAAUAUAUAAUAUUUUUUUUAAGUAUAAAAAUACUUGGCAAAGUCCAAAAAUCUUUAUGUUCCUUAUGGAACGCAUUAGUCUUACUUUCAUUCAAGGUAUCUUGAAACAGAAAGUUUCAACAAACUCAAUCUUUGCACAAAAAUCUAUAAAUAUCAAACCCAUAAUUUAUAUAUCAACUGGCUAGAUCGGCAUCCAAUUAGAUUGAUCAUAAAUUAUUUACUAGUAGUUAUUUUAAUGAAGUAAUAGCCAUUACUUAUUUUUUGCCAAUAUUUACACGUCCAAUAGGAGAUAUUUUGCAAGGAUGAACUAAGUAGAAUUUGCAAUAGGCAGUGAAUCUGCAAAUAUCUAUUUUAUCAAUAGAUUGACAAAAUGCAGGUAAAAAAUGAAAUAUCUACAUAAUAAACCUAAUAACAGAAUUUAGAUUAUAUUAGUAACAUUCUCAAGCAUAGAGAAACAAAAGGAACCUAACCAUAUAAGUUAGAUUCCUACCGUAAGGUUAUUAGUUAGAUCAAAGAUUUUAAGUGUUGCACAAUAGAAAUAUCAGCAACUUGAUUCACAAAGUAUAAUAUUAACACUGCUCUUGAUAACAAUGGAUGGCAAUUCACUUUUUGGAUAGAUACAAUAUGGAGUUUCAUGGAAGCAUUCCAGUACAAAAAACAAUGUAGAUGAUAGCAACUAUAAGGUAAUAUCACAAAACCACAUAAAUAAUAACUAUCUAACUGUCACCAUGACAAAACAAGAACUCGCUGAUAAAUCAAUGCAUACCUGAUUUUUUACAUAACGAUACCAUAUUCAUACCUAUAAAAAAAUAAUAUUAUAUUCAUAUUAAUCCAAUAUAAAACCUUUUAGUAGUGAGCAAGCAUAUAUCCAAAGGAAAGGAAAAGGAUAAAACACAAACACAAACUGAUCAUGUCACAUUUUUUUAAAGAAAUAAGCUUUGAGCUUAAACCAUAGAAUUCUCAGUAAUAAUGCACACAAAUUCAAUCAAGAGGAAAAUUGGAAGGAGCAUCGACUUCAUCAAAAGGAAAGCAAUCAAUAUCGCAUAUGCCAUGUAGCUUUUAAUAGCAGAUAUGAUGUUUAGUUAAGCUAAAGAAGUCUCAUGAGAUUAUGAAAAGAACAUUAUGGAGAUAUUUUUUGGCUAUUGCGGAAGCCAAAAAUGCACAUCCUAUGUUAGAUUACUUUUUAAAAAAAUUCUUACCACCCCAUUCCAUCUCCCUUAAAUCUACGGAAUCCAAUAAUACACACAAGCGAAUUGAUGUUUCUUUUGUACAAAAUCAAACUCUCACCUAUCUCCCUCUAGAGACGAAUUUUCAAGUCUUUCAUCACUGUCGUUGAUGGUCAGAUCUACUUAUCUCGCCCUUGCAUAAACUGUCAAAAAUUGAACACACUUCAAUAUUAGGACGUGGGUUGGUUUAUAAGGCGUACAAGAAAUUGAACGCAAACUAAUUUCUUUCGUAAUAUGACAAAAAAUUAUGAUAGAAACCUGAAAAUAUUAGGGGAAAAUAAGCACGAGAAGCCCUUAAACAAUCAUUCAAGUGCAACAAGGGUUUUUUAUUUCACAACUUCAAAUCCAUUAAGAUUUAGAGUGCAACACUAAAACUCCGUACCAAAAUUAUAUUUAGUUCUAAGUAAAGAAAUUAAACACAAAAAAAGUAAUAGUAAAGAGAGAUUAAUCAAAGUGGGUUUGACAAAAUCAGCACAUACAAGUAUGGAAGCAGAGUUAUCGAUUUUCGUAA
rnacentral:lncRNA from 1 species